GAUGAAGAACGCAGCGAAAUGCGAUAAGUAAUGUGAAUUGCAGAAUUCAGUGAAUCAUCGAAUCUUUGAACGCACCUUGCGCCCUUUGGCCAUUCCGAAGGGCAUGCCUGUUUGAGUAUCAUGAACACCUCAACUCUUCAUGGUUUUCCAUGAUGAGCUUGGACUUUGGGGGUCUUGCUGGCCUGUGGGUCGGCUCCUCUCAAAUGAAUCAGCUUGCCGGUUUUUGGUGGGCAUCACAGGUGUGGUAACUAUCUACGCUUGUGGUUUUCCACCAGGGUAACCUUCAGCAGUGGAGGUUCACUGGAGCUUACAAAUGUCUCUCCUCUGUGAGGACAGCCCUUUGAAUGUUUGAUCUCAAAUCAGGUAGGACUACCCGCUGAACUUAAGCAUAUCAAUAAGCGGAGGA
rnacentral:misc_RNA from 1 species